rnacentral:rRNA from 1 species
GACGAACGCUGGCGGCGUGCUUAACACAUGCAAGUCGAACGGAAAGGCCCUGCUUUUGUGGGGUGCUCGAGUGGCGAACGGGUGAGUAACACGUGAGUAACCUGCCCUUGACUUUGGGAUAACUUCAGGAAACUGGGGCUAAUACCGGAUAGGAGCUCCUGCUGCAUGGUGGGGGUUGGAAAGUUUCGGCGGUUGGGGAUGGACUCGCGGCUUAUCAGCUUGUUGGUGGGGUAGUGGCUUACCAAGGCUUUGACGGGUAGCCGGCCUGAGAGGGUGACCGGCCACAUUGGGACUGAGAUACGGCCCAGACUCCUACGGGAGGCAGCAGUGGGGAAUAUUGCACAAUGGGCGGAAGCCUGAUGCAGCAACGCCGCGUGCGGGAUGACGGCCUUCGGGUUGUAAACCGCUUUCGCCUGUGACGAAGCGUGAGUGACGGUAAUGGGUAAGAAGCACCGGCUAACUACGUGCCAGCAGCCGCGGUGAUACGUAGGGUGCGAGCGUUGUCCGGAUUUAUUGGGCGUAAAGGGCUCGUAGGUGGUUGAUCGCGUCGGAAGUGUAAUCUUGGGGCUUAACCCUGAGCGUGCUUUCGAUACGGGUUGACUUGAGGAAGGUAGGGGAGAAUGGAAUUCCUGGUGGAGCGGUGGAAUGCGCAGAUAUCAGGAGGAACACCAGUGGCGAAGGCGGUUCUCUGGGCCUUUCCUGACGCUGAGGGGCGAAAGCGUGGGGAGCGAACAGGCUUAGAUACCCUGGUAGUCCACGCUGUAAACGGUGGGUACUAGGUGUGGGGUCCAUUCCACGGGUUCCGUGCCGUAGCUAACGCUUUAAGUACCCCGCCUGGGGAGUACGGCCGCAAGGCUAAAACUCAAAGGAAUUGACGGGGCCCCGCACAAGCGGCGGAGCAUGCGGAUUAAUUCGAUGCAACGCGUAGAACCUUACCUGGGUUUGACAUGGAUCGGGAGUGCUCAGAGAUGGGUGUGCCUCUUUUGGGGUCGGUUCACAGGUGGUGCAUGGCUGUCGUCAGCUCGUGUCGUGAGAUGUUGGGUUAAGUCCCGCAACGAGCGCAACCCUUGUUCACUGUUGCCAGCACGUUAUGGUGGGGACUCAGUGGAGACCGCCGGGGUCAACUCGGAGGAAGGUGGGGAUGACGUCAAGUCAUCAUGCCCCUUAUGUCCAGGGCUUCACGCAUGCUACAAUGGCUGGUACAGAGAGUGGCGAGCCUGUGAGGGUGAGCGAAUCUCGGAAAGCCGGUCUCAGUUCGGAUUGGGGUCUGCAACUCGACCUCAUGAAGUCGGAGUCGCUAGUAAUCGCAGAUCAGCAACGCUGCGGUGAAUACGUUCCCGGGGCU